rnacentral:misc_RNA from 1 species
UCUGGUUCAAGCUAAAUGUAUUUUGUAAUAGUAGUUGUUAGUAAUUUCUAAAGUAAUAAAUUUUAAGUUUGUGUUUGCUAAGCGGCAAAAUGUCAUACGUCCACUGUUGUCACAUCAGUGGUGUAAUGUUUUGUGUUAAGUAAAUAGUUUCUGGAACUUGGAAACCAAGAUUAAGUGGUCGUCUUUUUGUUUUUUUUUCAAAAUGUGUGAGAACUGCACUAUUUCAGGAUUAGCUAGGUUAUCUAUAUGGUGAGUCAAUAAUCAAGGUUAUAACAGGCUGGCACUAGAAGAAGAUUUGGAACCAGAUGCUUGCUGUGAAAAAUACGUGGGUCCUGUUUAGUUUAACUAUAAACUCUGAGAAGAAUAUAAAAGUGAUACUGUGAUGUAACCAUGGAAGAAUUAAAGGUGAAGGUUGAACCCAUUUCUGAUGAAGAACAUGAUGCUUUGUUAGAUACCAAAUUGGUGAAAAAUGAAGAAGAAGAAACAUUUACAUUACCUAGAUGUAAGUAUAUACAGUAUUGGAAAUAUUUUUGAAAUAUCCCUGAAAUCCAAGCACUUCGAAAUAGUUAUCUAUUCUUCUUCAGAAGUAAAGAAUCCUUUUUGGUUUUGAAAAAUAACAUUCAAGUACUUGAAAAUGUUUGAGAUUCUGGGAAUAUGUUUGAGAAUAUGUUUUGGAAUUUACUUGGUGUUUUUGAUGAUCCUUUAUACUAAUCCUUUCA